ACGGGUGAGUAACGCGUGGGAAUCUACCCAUCCCUACGGAAUAACGCAUGGAAACGUGUGCUAAUACCGUAUACGCCCUACGGGGGAAAGAUUUAUCGGGGAUGGAUGAGCCCGCGUUGGAUUAGCUAGUUGGUGGGGUAAAGGCCUACCAAGGCGACGAUCCAUAGCUGGUCUGAGAGGAUGAUCAGCCACAUUGGGACUGAGACACGGCCCAAACUCCUACGGGAGGCAGCAGUGGGGAAUAUUGGACAAUGGGCGCAAGCCUGAUCCAGCCAUGCCGCGUGAGUGAUGAAGGCCUUAGGGUUGUAAAGCUCUUUCACCGGAGAAGAUAAUGACGGUAUCCGGAGAAGAAGCCCCGGCUAACUUCGGGCCAGCAGCCGCGGUAAUACGAAGGGGGCUAGCGUUGUUCGGAAUUACUGGGCGUAAAGCGCACGUAGGCGGAUCGAUCAGUCAGGGGUGAAAUCCCAGAGCUCAACUCUGGAACUGCCUUUGAUACUGUCGAUCUGGAGUAUGGAAGAGGUGAGUGGAAUUCCGAGU
rnacentral:rRNA from 1 species